rnacentral:rRNA from 1 species
CAGUAGCCGCGGUAAUACGCAGGGUGCGAGCGUUAAUCGGAAUUACCGGGCGUAAAGCGUGCGCAGACGGUUAUUUAAGCAGGAUGUGAAAUCCCCGGGCUUAACCUGGGAACUGCGUUCUGAACUGGAUAGCUAGAGUGUGUCAGAGGGGGGUAGAAUUCCACGUGUAGCAGUGAAAUGCGUAGAGAUGUGGAGGAAUACCGAUGGCGAAGGCAGCCCCCUGGGAUAACACUGACGUUCAUGCUCGAAAGCGUGGGUAGCAAACAGGAUUAGAUACCCCGGUAGUCCCUGUCUCUUAUAC